AGAGUUUGAUCCUGGCUCAGAAUGAACGCUGGCGGCGUGCUUAACACAUGCAAGUCGAACGGUAACAGAGAGAAGCUUGCUUUUCUGCUGACGAGUGGCGCACGGGUGAGUAAUAUAUAGGUAAUGUGCCUCUUAGUCUGGGAUAGCCAUUGGAAACGAUGAUUAAUACUAGAUACUCCUUCUAACUAUAAUGUUAGUCGGGAAAGUUUUUCGCUAAGAGAUCGGCCUAUAUCCCAUCAGUUAGUUGGUAAGGUAACGGCUUACCAAGACAAUGACGGGUAGCGGGUUUGAGAGGAUGAUCCGCCACACUGGUACUGAGACACGGACCAGACUCCUACGGGAGGCAGCAGUGAGGAAUAUUGCACAAUGGGGGAAACCCUGAUGCAGCAACGCCGCGUGGAGGAUGACGCAUUUCGGUGUGUAAACUCCUUUUAUAUGUCAAGAAAAUGACGGUAGCAUAUGAAUAAGCACCGGCUAACUCCGUGCCAGCAGCCGCGGUAAUACGGAGGGUGCAAGCGUUACUCGGAAUCACUGGGCGUAAAGGACGCGUAGGCGGGAUAGUAAGUCUGAUGUGAAAUCCUAUGGCUCAACCAUAGAACUGCAUUGGAAACUGCUGACCUAGAGUAUGGGAGGGGGAGAUGGAAUUAGUGGUGUAUGCGUAAAUCCGUAUAUAUCACUAGGAAUACCGAAAGCGAUGGCGAUCUCCUGCACCAUAACUGACUCUAACGCUUGAAAGCGUACGGGAGCAAAAGGAUUAGAUAGCCUUGCUAGUCCACGCCCCUAAUCGAUGAAUACUAGUCGUCGGGAUGCUUGUCAUCUCGUGAUGCACCUUACAGAUUA
rnacentral:rRNA from 1 species